ACGAACGCUGGCGGCGUGCUUAACACAUGCCAGUCGAACGGAAAGGCCCCUUUGGGGGUACUCGAGUGGCGAACGGGUGAGUAACACGUGAGUAACCUGCCCUUGACUUCGGGAUAACUUCAGGAAACUGGGGCUAAUACCGGAUAGGAAUCCUUGCUGCAUGGUGGGGGUUGGAAAGCUUCGGCGGUUUUGGAUGGACUCGCGGCUUAUCAGCUUGUUGGUGGGGUAGUUGCUUACCAAGGCUUUGACGGGUAGCCGGCCUGAGAGGGCGACCGGCCACAUUGGGACUGAGAUACGGCCCAGACUCCUACGGGAGGCAGCAGUGGGGAAUAUUGCACAAUGGGCGGAAGCCUGAUGCAGCAACGCCGCGUGCGGGAUGACGGCCUUCGGGUUGUAAACCGCUUUCAGCAGGGGCGAAGCUUGUGGUGACGGUACCUGCAGAAGAAGCACCGGCUAACUACGUG
rnacentral:rRNA from 1 species